rnacentral:rRNA from 1 species
UCCAGACUCCUACGGGAGGCAGCAGUGAGGAAUAUUGGUCAAUGGGCUAAGGCCUGAACCAGCCAAGUCGCGUGAGGGAAGACGGUCCUAUGGAUUGUAAACCUCUUUUGUCGGGGAGCAACGAGGCCACGUGUGGCCGAAGUGAGAGUACCCGAAGAAAAAGCAUCGGCUAACUCCGUGCCAGCAGCCGCGGUAAUACGGAGGAUGCGAGCGUUAUCCGGAUUUAUUGGGUUUAAAGGGUGCGCAGGCGGCGAGUUAAGUCAGCGGUAAAAUUUGGGGGCUCAACCCCGACAAGCCGUUGAAACUGGCUUGCUAGAGUGGGCGAGAAGUAUGCGGAAUGCGUGGUGUAGCGGUGAAAUGCAUAGAUAUCACGCAGAACUCCGAUUGCGAAGGCAGCAUACCGGCGCCCAACUGACGCUCAGGCACGAAAGCGUGGGUAUCGAACAGGAUUAGAUACCCCAGUAUA